UAUUGGCCUUCCAGCCCCUUCCCAUAAUACCUUCAUUAAAAUGAUCAGACAUGCCUCUGCCCAAAUUAAGGUGACAAUGGCAUCGGAUGCUCAAGUCAACAGGAUGGGUUUUACUGACUGGCAAAUGAGAGAGCAAGACAGAGAGAGAGAGAGACAGAAAGAGAGAAAGAGUGACAGAGAGAGAUGAAGCAGAAAACCUCAGUGCUCUGCGGAUCCCAGUGGCGUCCAAUUCAUGCUGUCCAUGAGGCCUUCUUGGUGGCCAGAGCCCCGAAAAACCUAGAGCUGAGUGGAUUGAUAUACAUUUGGGCCAGGUGGGAACACCCAGGUACCUGCCAUGGCAGGGGCCAAGUCUGACAGAGUUUCUUGCAGCAGACUCUGGAUCUGUUGCAUCAUGGGCAAAGAAAUGUGAGCUUGAGAGAUGGAAAAAAGAGGAAAGCAGAACAGAAAUAGGAAUAGGAAAGGAAUAGGAAUCAGAAAGAGACAGCAAGAGAGAAGAAAGUAAUCAGGUGGACUGCACAGAGGGUCGCUUCCCAUUCCCUUUGGGCACCUCCUGGCCAAUGGAGUCUUCGUCUUGGCCAAGCUCUUGGAGAAUGAAUUCUUUCCUGUCUGACACUUCUUGCUGGCUCUGUGGGCAGGGGGAAGGCUACUGAAGUGGGAAACUCUUUCUAACAAAGACUUUCAUAUCUGUUGCUCCUCUGUAGAGCUUAAAAUUAGAACUCUUCAUACUCUACUUGCUUUUUGAACACCUGUCUUAGGGUGAAGUUAUGAUGCUUGUAUCCCUAAUCGUGUGUUCUGUUAAUGCUGGAUAUUAUGUUCUGUGCCUUCAAGACUGGCUCUGAAGAGCGAGGUUUGUUUUGGUUUGUUAUCAGCCUGCUCUGCCACGGCUGGCGGGACAGAGAGACGGGGCAGUACAUAGUGCGGCUUUUGCUUUUUGCUUUGCUUUUCGCUUUUGCUUUGCUCUUGCUUCUUGCUGUGCUCCUGCUUUGCGUUUGCUUUUUGCUUCUGCUUGUUAGUUAGUUCAGCUAAGCAGUCCAAAUCUUUCCCUGAACUGUUUUUUCUUUCCCUUUUUGGAACCACUCAAACCUGCUCCGGACUGGGACCUGGGAAACACUGAGAGUUUGCAUCUUGUGGCUGCAGCAGCCAUCCCCAGCACCAGAGGGAGCAACAGUAGAGCAACCACUCCCAGGAAAGACUUUCUGAAUUGUCAUCCUUUUCAGAUCAGUGAAAGAGUGUUGUCAUCUGGUAUUGCUCAUUUUGUUGCUGAGGGUGUUUUGCCCACAGGUUCUUUCCACUUGUCUCCGAAGAAUCCUUCCCGAACCAGAGAAAAACACCCAUGAAAUCUGGAGGUCAAGUGCAAAAUAACAAGAAGUUUCUGAAUGGAGCACCGGGGGAUAUUUGCAGCAAACCAUUCCAAUCUGUGCUAUAAUCUAAUUUACCAUGGACAAGUAGUGUAGAUAAUAAAGAGGUAAAAUUCAGUACAGACAGUACAAUAUAGAGACUUCAUACAGAAACUCUGCAGUCAUUAUACAGCACUUUUUUUUUUAAUAUCUGUGUUAUGUACAAGAAGUUCCUUCUCAAGGCCAAGGUUUUCUGUAGUCUGGAGGCUUAUUUCGUGUGGAAUGAGUGAAUAACAAUCUGCACCCAUAAGGAAGUUGCGUUUUCUCCCACAAGGAGUCCUGGUACCAUUCUCAGCACAGUCAGUGAGAGGUUUUUGGUUGUCUUGAUGACAUCCUGCAGUGACCAUCUUGCUUUCUGCCCAUGGAGUGCCCACUAAGUUACUCUCUUGUCUCAGGUGCCUCAGUCAUGUGCUGCUCUAUAGAUGAGAUAAAUGUAGCUGUACACAGCUGUGCUUUCAGGAAGCUUGCAGAUAAUGGACAAUCAAAAUCAGUGGCAAAAUAAAUUGAUUGUAGUAGAAGCACAUAGGCCUUGCUGAAAUCUCAUUGCAGUUUUUUCAGAAUUUGUUUCCGUUUCAAAGCAGGCUCCCAACCCAUUCAGUUUUAUUAUAUUUCCCUGCUUGUUUGUUCAGAUUGAAAAAAAAUUUAAAAGUAUAAUAAAGAAAUACCGUUAGCAACAUUGUAGAUCUUUCUGCUAGGUAAAUCUAAGAAUUAUAUUUGCAGUUUUCCCCAAAGCCAAAGAAAUCUGUUAUUGUGUUAUUGUCAGCAGUUAGGGAGAGUGAUACCUCUGUCAAAUUGUCCUGGUUUGAUAAGGAAGUUAGUUUUUUGGGAAGUUAUAGUUAAAACCAACUAGUAGUAAGAUGCUUGUAGGGUUUUUUUAGUAUUUAAACAGACUGUGGAUUCCAAAAGAAUCUAAAUGAAGUACAUCUUCACCCAGGGUGCAUAGACAGGUACUGGGACUGACACUCCACCUAUAUGGAGUGUCGGCACUUUCAGAAGGAUUUAUACUUGGUCAUGGGUAUUGCUUGACAGGCACAUGAGUAUAAAUGAAAAAUAAAUGAAUCCUUUCUCUGUGGGGCCAACACAAGAUUUGCCCCUUGAAAGCAUUUUUUUUUUCUCAAGCUGGCUGUUUUGGUGGAGUUUUGAAAACCUGCAGUGUUUCAACAGUGUUGCUUCCUCUCAAGAGGCUGCUAAUAAAUGACCCAAAGCAGAAACUAUUAGAAUUCCUGAGUUGUUUCUACUUUCCUGGACAGAUACUGAAGUGGGUCUAAUCCCACGUGUGUUGUUUGUACAGGCAGUGCCAUUGAUGCAAACAGAGUAUGUGCAAGAGCAGAGGUGAGCAGAGGUUCAGAGGAAUGUGUCUGUCCUGCCAGAUCACAGGCUAUGGCUGAGGCUCUGGAGUUACUGGGCUUGUAUCCUCUUUCCUUCCCAACUUUGAUUUCUUUAUUCAGUUUGUUUGACAGAAGAAUAAACACAAGGAUUCUUUCUGGCAGGAGUCCAAGACAGGAUGCAGAGGGAGAUUUUGUUCUUCCAAAAUGUCUCCUGAAUGUAUGGACAAUUUCUCAGUAAGAUGAUUUAAUCAUGAGUUGAUUGCUGUUAUUAAUCUCUAUUAAGGUAAUAAUUUCCAAAGGGAUCAGUUGGUGAUAAAUCUCCAUUGACUUCAAAGACAGCAGAGUGGUCAUUCUCUUAAAAAUCUUGACCUAACCUAGGAGAUUAAAAUGGUCAAAUUAGCAAUUUGAUACUGUCUUUUCUGAAAAAACUAAUUUCAGAUUAACCUGAUUUCAGUAAGAUUGAGCUCUUCCUCCAGAAAAGACCUCCAUUGUGACAGGACAUACAUUCACAUACAGAUAGACACACAGCUGUAUGCUCUACAUUCCCAAGCUGCAGUUGCCUAUAACACAGGAAUGGUUCCAGUGAGACAGUGAGGUCCAAGCAGUAAAUCUAGGAAGGAAAGUGUCCUCACAUGGAGAAGGCUGCCCAAGACGCAGGAUAAGAAAAGCUAUGGGAGGAGAAACAUGGAAAUUAGAUGUGGGAGAAAAGCGUCUUGGAGAGAACACAAAGGCAGUAAGGAACAGGUGGUUAAUAUGAGGUUGCAAAGCUGCAAGCCAAGGCAGAAAUUGCCCUGGCUUCUCCUGUUGACUUUUUUUGUUGUGGCUUGUUUGUUGGUUGGUUGGUUGUUGGGGUGUUUUUUGAGGAAAAAAUAUCUUGUAAGUUUUUUAUUAAAGAAUGUCCCAAAGCUCAGUCUGUAGGUUCUGAAGUGCACCCUAGAGAGGGAUGUUUCCUUCCCUGUGUCAUCACAGCUGGUCAUGGAGGCAUCACAAGCCCUGCUUACUGCUGAGUCCUUAUCAGGGUCUCCUGUGCAGAGUGGUGUGUACUUGUGGGGGCAGGAGGAAAAGGGCCUUCUCCUCAUGGUGCCAAACAUGAGCUAGAAACUGUUCAUGGAUUCACAGCAUGUCUGAGAUCGCUGAGACCUCUGGAAGUCAGCUGGUGCAACACACCUGCUCAGAACAGGGUCAGCCAGAGCAGGUUUCUCUGGGCUAUAGACACGCAGGUUUUGAAUGUCUCCAAGAAUGGAGACUCUACAACUUCUGUGGGUAACGUGUGACAGGGUUUGAUGACUGGCACAGUCAAAAUUGGUACUUUUCCCUCAUGUUUGAGCUUAUUUUCCUGUGUGUUUCAAUGAGAUGGGGGGGGGGGGGGGGUAGUGCUGCUGGACUGAUUUGUUGCUAAACAGGUCCCUGGCCAGUGUAAAAGGCCAAGGUAAUAAUACCUGCCUAUCAAAUGACAAAUUCUGUCUGAGAUGGUAUAGCACAGGCAAAAGCAAUUUUUCCUCAAGGGUGUAUGCUCUCAUGACAGGCUUGACAAAUACAAAUAUUUUAAAAUAAAUGAGCUGUCCAUACCCAUUCAAUUGAACACUGUGUGACACUUGUAAUUAAAUAAUUUUCACACAGUAUUUAAUGAUUUUCACCUUGUAGAAGAUUUAAUUUUGCUGUGCUGUUCCUGAAAUCAUGGUGUAGACAAAGAAAAAUUGUCAUUGUGCUAUAGCUCUUUUGCUCCAAGAUGGACAUGGAUCCCUAAGUGGCAUAUGGAUUGAAAGAUUUACAGCCAUGCUCAUUUUCAAUGAUUUGUACUAAGACAGAACUGAGUCAGUUCUCUGAGCUGAUGAAUACAAUUUUUAUGAAUUACUUAUUCUAUCUUUAUUACAAAUUUAUCAACAUUUCAUUCGUCAUUGAUCAGUUUCACUUGACAUCUUUCAAAGUAGUAUUGCUUUACACAGAAAGAGAUGAAAGUAAUUUCUGGUAGCAGAUGUAAAGAAAGAUCUAAAAUAUCAUUAAUAACUGAUUUUUUAAAAAUCUUUAUUCAUCAUUUCUCUUUUGAGCUUCCAGCUUUACUGCUUAUGAUUUGGGCUUGAGGAUUUUUCCCAUUUUCUUGUCUGCUUGUAAAAUCUAACUGCCUAAAUUACAGUUCCAUGUUUUCUGUGGUCUGGAGCUGAGUUGAUGCAAGUGUAAUAUUUUGACAUUUUCUGACUUUAUUUCUUUUCAUAUUGCAUAGAGCAGACACUAGCUGAAGAUGACCCAGCUGGUCAAAUAUGUUUGUUGAACCACUAAGACUGAAUUAAUUGUCUGAACAGCUAUUUUCUCUUAAUAGGUGGCAAAUUUCACAGUUUCUAUCAGAGAAAGGAUCAUGUAUGUCUUUCUGUGGAAUGAGAAAUCUGGGAACUUCUACAGAAUAGAAGUUGAUAUAAAUCUUGUCCUCAGUUCCCAGAGUCUUUGAAGUGGGACCUGAAAUGUGACUAGGGAUCAGUUUCCAGUGCUGACACUUCUUGACACCUUAACACAGGCCUCACAAGGGACCACAAGAGGUCUGACACUCAUUAUUUUAAUGACUGCAUUGUCAAUAGCACUAUUUAUUGCAAUGUUUCUAGCAUUUUUUCCAUAUCAGAGUAGUCCAGCUUUGAGGUUGUGUCUUGUUCCCUUUUUAGACUUCCUGUGGAUUUCAGUGGGCAAUCAAAUCCUUACCAUCAAAAUGCAUAAAGGGGGUGAGGAAAACAGUCUGAGUCUGUAAGGCAUUUAAUAGAUACUCUCCAGUUAAUAUCCACAAGAGCUGGAUGCAGACACAUCACAAUUUGCAGCAAUAGACACAUCAUUGAAGGAAGAAGGAUAUUUCUGUCUCAGUCUCAUUUUCUCUUGCUGAGCAAUUCAGGGUACACAUUAAUUUACUCAGACUAUUUUUCUAGCUUUUACAGUUCAUAGUUUAGAAUUGGCCUUGCCAUGAAAAAAAUGAUGGAGUUGCACUGCCAGAUGGAAGCAGAAGCAUCUGCACUACCUCUGGUCUCCUGAGUAUUCAGAGAAGGCAAACAGCAUUCCUUCAUUGUCCUGGCCUAAGGCUGCAAUGCAAGAAAGACAAAACUCUUCUAUCUUAAGAUUUUCUUAAGGUGAAAUCAAGAAAACCAGCAAAGAUGGCAUGGGCAGACAAGUCCAAAAGUUGCUGGAGGCCUGAGGGCAGAAAAAGGAGAUGAAGCACAAGUUAUGUAUGUUUCCUGGGAGAGGGUGCCAAACAAUUGUGUCUUUCUCACCUGGAAAAACCUUCCAAAUGAAUGUUUUAAAAGUCCCCUUGAAACUCAAGUGAAUAUUUCAGCAGGUGAGGUGAUUCUCUUUUAUAUUUUCCUGGUAAAUAUUUUAUUUUGCUCACAUGGAUUCAUCAAGUGAGAAAGGUUCCUGUAUUCUUUGCAUCUGUCUUAUUGCUUGUAUAAGCUGCCCCAGCUUUAAUGUUUUGUCAACACUGUGAAGGGGUGAAUUCUCCUGGGCUUCUCUUCACCUCACCAUUGAAGACCUAGGAAACUCCACCAGACUAUUAAGUCUUGUUCCUCCAAAUAUCAGAUUUAGAAACAUUUCUGUUCAUGAGACUUUAGCCACUGACCAUGGAAUAUUGCCCCAAUAUGGCUUACUCCUUUAUCCUGACAUUAUGUGGAGGGAAAGUCCUCCUGAAAAAAUUCCACCAUGUCUUUUCAGAUGAAACCUAACUUUUUUCUCCCAGGAAUUUUCAAUUAGCAUCUCUAAGUUCUACUUAAUCUAAGAUAUUUAUUCUGGGUUUCCAGUGAACAGAUCUUGACACAAACUGAAGAGAUGAAUAACUCUGGUGAUGUCUUCUGGCCGUGUUCUCCAAGGCCUGCCUGCCCCUUCUCACUUUGGGAGAGCUUUGAUGUAGUCACUAGUUGCCGUGUGGAGGUCGCUCUGAUCUUGGCCAUGCACAUCCUUAGAGCACUUUGUCUUUGCCUCCUUCCUUUCUUAAUGCUGGUUGUUUUUCCCCAGUAACAGCCAGCCCUGUGAAAUGGUGGAAGUUUUGCCAUGGUCAUUCUCCAGGUAUUAGGUGACUGCUGCUUACAGGAAUCCACAGAUGCAAUUGGUCCCUUGAG